rnacentral:rRNA from 1 species
AUUGCCCUAGUAACGGCGAGUGAAGCGGCAACAGCUCAAAUUUGAAAUCUGGCGCAAGCCCGAGUCGCAAUUUGUAGAGGAUGCUUCUGGCCAGCGGCCGUUCUAAGUUCCUUGGAACAGGACGUCAUAGAGGGUGAGAAUCCCGUAUGUGACCGGUGCGCAGCCUUUACGUAGCUCCUUCGACGAGUCGAGUUGUUUGGGAAUGCAGCUCUAAAUGGGAGGUAAAUUUCUUCUAAAGCUAAAUACCGGCCAGAGACCGAUAGCGCACAAGUAGAGUGAUCGAAAGAUGAAAAGCACUUUGGAAAGAGAGUUAAAAAGCACGUGAAAUUGUUGAAAGGGAAGCGCUUGCAACCAGACUUCGUAGCGAUGUUCCGCUGGUCUUCUGACCGGUCUACUCAUCGUCGCGAGGCCAACAUCGUCUGGGACCGCUGGAUAAGACCUAAGGAAUGUAGCUUCCCUCGGGAAGUGUUAUAGCCUGUGGUGAUGCAGCGCGUCUCGGGCGAGGUCCGCGCUUCGGCAAGGAUGUUGGCGUAAUGGUUGCCAGCGGCCCGUCUUGAAACACGGACCAAGGAGUCUAACAUCUAUGCGAGUGUUCGGGUGUCAAACCCCUACGCGUAAUGAAAGUGAACGGAGGUGGGAAGCGCAAGCUGCACCAUCGACCGAUCCUGAUGUCCUCGGAUGGAUUUGAGUAAGAGCAUAGCUGUUGGGACCCGAAAGAUGGUGAACUAUGCCUGAAUAGGGUGAAGCCAGAGGAAACUCUGGUGGAGGCUCGCAGCGGUUCUGACGUGCAAAUCGAUCGUCAAAUUUGGGUAUAGGGGGCGAAAGACUAAUCGAACCAUCUAGUAGCUGGUUCCUGCCGAAGUC